rnacentral:rRNA from 1 species
GUGUCAGCAGCCGCGGUAACACCGGCGGCCCGAGUGGUGAUCGUGAUUAUUGGGUCUAAAGGGUCCGUAGCCGGUUUGGUCAGUCCUCCGGGAAAUCUGAUAGCUCAACUAUUAGGCUUUCGGGGGAUACUGCCAGACUUGGAACCGGGAGAGGUAAGAGGUACUACAGGGGUAGGAGUGAAAUCUUGUAAUCCCUGUGGGACCACCUGUGGCGAAGGCGUCUUACCAGAACGGGUUCGACGGUGAGGGACGAAAGCUGGGGGCACGAACCGGAUUAGAUACCCCGGUAGUCC